rnacentral:lncRNA from 1 species
GGCUGUGGGUCGCUGCCAAGUUGUUGUCCUGUUCACGUGGUCAACAUAAAAUAUCCGUCCAUGGCUGUCAAUUCGAGCCUCCCAGUUUGGUGGUAAUGCCUCAUCCACUCGCUGGUACCGGCUAACAUCUUGACGUACUGAAGGUAGUGACCUCAAGGGCUGAUGGCCAUUGGCUUGAGCACCUCCAGUAGCUCCUUCAACCUCUGCUGUGGCACCCUCACAAGCUGCUUGGGCUCCUUCCGUUUCUUCAUCCUGAGACUGGCUAUUGGCAGCUGCUGCCUGCAGACUUCUUCUUUGCCAGAUUUCUUCUGCAUCCUCUUGGUCUUGUAAUUCACC